UAACACAUGGUAACGUAAUUCCAACUAAAUUAUACAAAUGAAAACAUCCACAAUACAUAUCGUCAAGAAAUCACCUCUGCCCAGAUGAAGUUGUGACCAGGCAUGCUACGGUAAGCCUAUUGUCUCAUUUCCAGUUGCCAGUGUUUCUUUGUUACUGGUAACGUUUUUGAUGCUCUCAACCCAGUUAACUUUGCUAUAUUGUUCAUUAUAACAACUAAUUACCCGUUGUACAUUUAAACACACAUUUGUUCUGCUCAAGCACUCAUAGCUUUCUCCUUCUUUUAGUGAUUUUCUCGCUAAUCCCACAGUUGCUUACACCCCAUUCAGAUCUGCUAGCUAUUUUAGCUUAGCAGUUAGCAAUGGCUUCCCUCUCUCCCUCUCACUCUCCUCUUCUCUCCUCUCUCUCAUGCUCGGUGUGUCUCCUGUUUAGCUAUUCCUCUGCCUCCUUUAGUGAUAAUGGUACAUGUAAUUAAUGUACUUCAUUUGCCGUGAUCGAGGCGAAGCUGAGUGAAUUAGAAGCGUGGCUCACCGAAGCCAACCCAGCGUAGCUCCUUCAAUGUCUUCUCUCUUUCCCGCUCAGUUUAAUUAUAUUGAACAUUUGUAUAUAUUAUAUUUCUCUCAAGGAAAAUUACAUCAAGAUAAUUAUUGUUAUUGUUUUAUUGCCCAGCCCUAUCUUGAGUCUGUCAGAGCAUUCCUGCAUGCAAGUGGACUUUGUGUACAGAGAAAGAGGGUGCGAGCAAGCUUGUGCCGCAUAAAUGCUGGAGCUGCACUUCAAGCAGUGUUGCAGAGACCAGAAUGACGGUCUUAUCAGGUGGUGGAUCCAAACACAUUGUGAGACAUUGAUGGAAAUUACAAGCUGAUAAGUUUUAGGUGGACGAUAGUCAUUCAUGGGGCUAUAGAUGGGUAUAGUCUCCUUGUGAUCUUCCUGCAUGCCUCAAAAAACAACUGCAGCAGCACUGUAUUGGACAGCUUCAUCACUGCUGUGGUCCGCCAUGGCAUACCCUCCAGGGUCAGGACAGACAGAGGAUGUCUGUUGUUGUGGAACCGUGGACAGAAUUAGCAGGCUUGGAUAUUAAGGGGCUCCCCAAACAACAUUUUGGCAUUGACUGUGGAAUCUUCAUGAUAAUGAAUGUCCAUUAACAGUGAUGAGUGAAGUUUUAGCUCAGUAGUCAGCGCAGUCGUCUAUGAUCUCCAGUUCGAGACCCAGUGUGAUGACCCCCUUCAUAAGCUUGCUGACUUCAGAUGCACACAAACCAACCAACACAACUUUGCUAUAUUUGCAGUACUCCUGCUGCCUGAGGAAAUGUUGCACAUGAUCUUCAUGCUUGUGGUGCUACAAGACGGCGACCCUGCAAUCCAUAUCCUGGCUCUCACGUGCACACAUUUCUGGAGGAUAGUGAGAAAAGAAUCCUUUCUGAAGGAAGCACACUUCUGCUGGCUUCACAUGGUCGUAAAUUCCUUGCUGUGGUGGCUGCUAAAUGAAUCCUGGGGAAACACUGCCACCAGAAAAUUUCACAUAAAAAAAUCUGAACUUACAUUUUACACAUGAACCCUUCUUCUGUGAUCAGGUGUGGUGAACUGGAAUGCAUUUGCAGAGGAGUAUGGAAGGACCUACAGAACUCCAUAUGCAAUCUCCUGUUGCAUUCAGUGCAAUUCUCUCUGCAAAGACUGUGAGGGCUAUAGGGGAUGUGGACAGAGAGGAAAACUGCAAAGGAUUCUACUCGGAAAAUUACCUUGCAGGAUACUGCAGCACUGACUGUUUUUAUGUGGCUGGAGGCAUUUUAUGAUUGACCUCUUCAUCUCUACCUCACUGAAACAAGCUCCUGAGGAAUUAUUCCUGGGGAAUAAUCUGUCUUCUUUUCAUAAGCUGUAUCUCUUACACUUUGUUAUACAGGGCGCGUAGUUUCCUAUAAUUUCCAAGAAAAAAACUGAUGUAACUGUAACAAUUUCAUUCAUUUGAAAGACAGGGGAUCUGAUAUUGAUCAAGCUGAACCCAACUGGAAGUAAAAUGGAAACCCUGUUUUGCUGUUCCUCUUUUCCUGCAUCUCGUAAAGUCGCAUCUGUCAUGACUUGCAGGAAGUUAUUAUCCUGUCUAUUGUAUUUUAAUGUGUAAAAUAGGCUACAUUACCCUUGUUCACCCAUAAACUUUAGUCAGCAGUAAUUCGUCCAUGUCAAAACAAUGGAUCCCUACACCUGUUAUGGAGGACAUUAACAUGUUCAACCACAGAAAUUUUGUCAUAAUGACUCCAAUACUGCAUUUCUCCCUCACAUGAUGACCUGACUUAUCUGAGCCUUAUUCAGGUGCUCGUGUUGUGUGGCUGUAAAUAUUUGAAAAAUGUCAGUGAGCUCCAACUAUUGUAUGACUGGCUUACUGGACAACAACACACACAAUAACACUAAUUUCUGUCAUUUCUGUUUUUCUGCAUCCCUUGCUUCUGUCAGACAUGGUAAUUCUUUUGGCUUGAGAGAAGAAAUAUACUUAGAAGUUGAUGGUCCUGCAUUGCAGAAGUUAGAUUUUCUAGAUUUAAUUAGUACAGCAAUGGCAAGAUAAAAAGUUCAACCUGACUGGAAAAAUGAUAUUGCUCGGUUAACAAUAUAUAUGUAACCAUUACGAUGUAAUGUGUGUAAAGAAAUGGGAAUGAAUCAGAUAUACUGUGUCUAAUUUCAAUAAGUAAAUGUCAUCCUGUUCUCUGAAGCUAGUUGGUUAUAUUUGCCUCAUUGACAGUAAUUUACAUAUACUUAGGCUAAUUACCCUUGUCUGCAUAAUUUUGACAACAUAGCAGGAAGAUCAUGAUUGUCAUACAUUUUAAAUAUUGCCAAUAUUGGCAUUGCAAUGCAAAUGCAAACUCUGCAUUUUAAACACUCAUUGAACAUCAUGUUCUUCAAAGUAAAUUUUCCUUCAAAGUUUUAUUUUUUCUUCUUCGUAGCUAAUUAAAAUAGAUUUGAACAGAUGAAAGAAAACAAGAAUGCCACAAUGAUAAACAGAUGAAACCCAGAAUGCCCUCAGAUGGCCAUACGCAUAUAAGAAAGAAGGGUCGUGACUUGUAGUGGUCUUGCAGACUGCAGACAGAUUCUAUUGGCUGCUUCGGACUGACAGCUAACUUUACUCCUCCCCACACUGCAAGAAAUGCACUAGGCACACUGUAAAAAAUAUCUGCUGAACAGACGUCUUUCAAGCUCUUGGGGAGUUGUGGUCUUCCAUAUCUUCCAGUGCAGAUGUAUGAAUAUUCCGAGUUUGUUGCAUCCUUAAUUUCAGAGUGGCCUGCAGUCAAUUGCUAACUGGUAAAGUUAGCAAGCUGUAGGAUGUCAGAGGGUCCAUAUUAUCCAUCUAUGUUACUGUCUGACACCGAGCAAAAAUACAACAACAACAACAACAAGAACACAAGCACUCUUAAAAAGAAAAUCUUUAAGGUAAAAAAAAAAAAGAUAACAUAAUCCAAAAAAACUGUCAAGUCCCAAAUCAGCUGCAGUGAAGUACUUUGGCACUCGGUGACACAAUUCAAAUUUGAGAUCACAUGAUGCAUUUCUUUGGCUCAACCAAUCAGCUCCUGACUUCACAGACAGCCUGUCAUGACCUAAUAAACUCUGAGACAAAUUUAAAAACUGUUAAGUAAAAUCAAAUUCAAACUAAUGUUUAAAUUCUUUAAUUUGCACCAUGAAUUUGAGGGUUUUAUUUGAAAGUAUUACAAAAAUAAUCUUCAAAUGGGUGAUUUUCUUUAUAAAAGGGAAAACACAGUAGCUACCUUAACUAUAGUAACAUAAUGGUUUCUGCAGUAGUAUGAAUAUUGCUGUGAUUUUCUUCAGUAGUAUAAUGUUUGUGAUUUACCACAGUAGUAUAAUGUUUGUGAUUUUCUACAGUAGUAUAAUGUUUGCUGUGAUUUUCUUCAGUAGUAUAAUGUUUGUGAUUUACCACAGUAGUAUAAUGUUUGUGAUUUUCUACAGUAGUAUAAUGUUUGCUGUGAUUUACUACAGUAGUAUAAUGUUUGUGAUUUUCUACAGCAGUAUAAUGUUUACUGUGAUUUUCUACAGUAGUAUAAUGUUUGUGAUUUUCUACAGUAGUAUAAUGUUUACUGUGAUUUUCUAUUAUAGUGGGAUUAUUACGGUGACUUUCUACAGUAGCGUGUUGAUUACAGUGAUUUAUACAGUAUUAAGUUGAUUACUGUGUUUUUAGGCCUAAUACACAGUAUUAUACUGUAAAAAAAUAUUCACAGCAACUAACUGCACCGAAACACGGUAAAUUACUGUGGAUUUCACAGCCAUUUUUGAGGUGUGUGUCCUUUAGGUUUGAGUAACAGAGUUUUGUAUUCAGUAUAAACAGCCACUGCAAGCAACUGCAGGAUGUGUGUGUGUGUGUGUGUGUGUGUGUGUGUGUGUGUGUGUGUGUGUGUGUGUGUGUGUGUGUGUGUGUGUGUGUGUGUGUGUUGGGGGAAGGAUUCUGGAUGUAAGGGCUAAAGAGUGCUUUGGGAGUCGAGCCAGGAGGGAUGUUGCAGCAGCCCAGGCAGGAUGACUAAAGCAUGA